CAACACAACUCGUUAGAAAUCGGAGAUCUGAUCGAGAUUCGUUUUCUUGGUGUGAAGAAAGUCUCAAAGACGCAAGCAACCUGUUCGAUGAAAUGCCUCAAUGACAAAGGUACAUAAUCUUUAAUACACCUCAAAUUCAUAAACGUGAAUAAAACAUGUAAUCUAGUUUUGCCAAUGAAAAUAGAUAUGGACCCUUAUAAAGAACUAUAUAUAUUUACAUCAACAUUAUUUCAAAACAUCGACACCUUAACAUACUAGACAAAUACAAUCGUCAUAAAUCAUGAUAGUUCUAUUCAACUUUCUUCUCCUUCAUCUCCUUUGUUGGUGAGUUGACUUUGUCUUUGACUUUAUCCAUUAGAUUCUGCACAUUCUUCUUCAUCGUACUGUAGAAUUUCAUACUCUGCAUCUGCAACCUCUCCCCAUGCUCCCUUAUCUUAUCAUCAUAUUUCAUCCAAAUCACAGGCGCACUCAUACCCACCAUAGUUCCUGCACACAACUCCAACUCAUAUCAUCAUUAUCUCACGACAAUAAAUCAAACAGUUGGUGGGCAUAAGGUAAAUAGCUACAUACCUGUGUAUAGAAGAGUAAGUAGGUCUGAACAACUGCCAAUGACGGAAAGUAGCCACAGUCCAACAACCGCCGCCGCAAAAACAUACCACUCGCUUUGAGCACCAACUUUAAACACCCACCUCAUCGCCUCCUCGCCGGAAACCCUUAUCCAGUUUGCAAUUCCGGUGACUGUCUUCUCUGAUAUCCCUAGCCCCGACAUACUCGGCUCCUCUCUGUGGAAUAACCAAUAGAAUUAUAAGUGGAAAAUCCAUGAACGCCAAGUGUUCGAUGAAAUGACUUACUUGUAAAUGAGCUUAUAAAUAUUAGCCCAAGUGAAAAGAGAUGAAACAAGAAAGAUGCCGAUCCAUGAAGCGACGGUGAUGAAAUUGAAGCCGUAAACUUCCAUCACCACCCAUAACACCGUCGCGGUGGCCACCACCCCUAAACUAACUCGCUUUUUCCUCCACAUUAUUACGUCUUUCAUGGAGUAAUUACCAUGAUCUUGAUGCAAUUCGUCUGUAUUAAUUAAUUGAUUAAAUACGUGCGUGGAGAGAGAGAGAGAGAGAGAGAGAGAGAGAGAGAGAGACCUGUUGAUGAAUGAGAAUGAGGGUGAGUUGUUGUUUCAGACAUUUCCGAUGAUGAAGGAGGAUCGUGUGUUGGUUCUGCCAUUUUCGUAGAUUGUUGGAGCGAUUUCUGAGUUGUGUAUCGUGGAGAAGGUAGAAGCUUUCUUCGGUUGUAUUCUGAAUGGAAGAGAGGCAGAUGAAAAGGGAAGAACUAGAGUGCCUAGGUGUCAUAGGAAGAUAACACGUGGCAGACAUAGGGUAAUACGUGGAGGACAUUCAUGCACACCAACGAUACUUCUUCUGAUGAUUUUAUUCUUUUUCGUUCUUAUCUUUCAAAAUCGACGGGGCUCGCCGAGGUUUCAUAGUGUAAACGGUUGGUUGGAUUUGGAAAAUUCACAAAUCAUAGCUAAAGAGUUAUAUACAUAUAAAUAAAUAAAUGAAAAGAAAAAAAAACAUAAUUUAACUAAGGUCUAUUAAGGUUACAUUUUCAUGAACCAAGUAUUUUAAUAUUUGAGUUUCGAUCAAUAAUAUAUUCGAAUAGUUUGAGCGCAAGCUGAGCUCGACUUAAAAUAGAUUAAAUCGAUUUCGAGUAUUGAAUGGAUUCGAUUUCGAGUAUUGAAUGGAUUUCGAGUAUCUAAUGAGUCUAUUACAUUUAAAUUGUUUGAACGAUUUAUUAAGGUUACAUUUUCAUGAACCAAGUAUUUUAAUAUUUGAGUUUCGAUCAAUAAUAUAUUCGAAUAGUUUGAGCGCAAGCUGAGCUCGACUUAAAAUAGAUUAAAUCGAUUUCGAGUAUUGAAUGGAUUCGAUUUCGAGUAUUGAAUGGAUUUCGAGUAUCUAAUGAGUCUAUUACAUUUAAAUUGUUUGAACGUUCAUAAAGUUAAACUAUGCGAGAAACUGCACAUUACUUUACCCUAGUAAGGUCGGAAGGAGCCGGUGCGGGGAGGAGGCGUGGGGCGUUCCGCUCCGCCGAACACCGCAUUGUGGCUGCGGGUAGCGCUGCGCGGGAAGAAGCCAAGGGGAAGGGUUGUCGUGUUCUAGCUCCACCGGUGAUUGGAUAGGAAGAUUUAAUUUAUUAUUAUUAUUAUUAUUAUUAUUAUUAUUAUUUUGAAUACAACCGUUAAAAAGCUGUAUCAUUGAAAAUGUAAUUUCUUUUACCCCUCUACAACCUUUAUAAAUACCUAUAUCCAUUUACCUCCAAUCAAUUUCUCUCUAUUUUCUUCAAAAAAAAAAAUUCCGACAAUCAAACCCCAACCUCCGAUAGAAGAAAAAAAAAACUCAUGUUUAGAGUUCAAGUACCCUUACUUGAAACAUUUUUGAUAUCGAUUCAUCGUCACAAGGAGUUUAUCGUCUCCAACUCGAUACUCACAUUCAAUCUCCACUACAAUUUUAAUAUCAAAAUGUUAGAUAAUAUUACCCGGUCCAAGUUCCAAAUGUUACUCCACAAAUGUUUUCAAACUUUGGUGUUUAUCCCGAUCAACAUUCACCAAAUCAACCUCAAAUCCAAACCUAACUCCAAACCCAAACCCAAACUCAAACUCAAACCCAACAACAAUUCCAACUUGUCGAUGAGUUGGAUGACUAGGAAGAAGAGAUGGUUAGCAAAACUCAACCCACACCAUCCCCACAACGACGCAAAGGAACAACAACCGCACGAGGGUGUCACACAACCAGGAAGAUAAAGGUUGAUACUGUAACACCUGUAAAAUUCAAGCCAAUUUAACACCUUUUCAAACAUCCAAAAGUCAUUAGUUAUUACAUAUGUUUUCAAAAUAGUUUAAUAUUAGAGUAUUCCAGAAACCGUAAGUCCAAAACACGAGGAUGUGUAUGGUCAUGCCUUCGCUUUGCCAAGUCAUCUGAAGCACCUGAAACAAUAAACUAAAACCAUAAGCACAAAACUUAGUGAGUUCCCCCAAAAUACUCAUACCCACAACAAUACACAUAUAAUCAUAAACAACAUACUAAGGAUCCAGUCAACCAUCGGGUUGGAAUACCCUCGGCCCACAACCAACAGGUUGGAAUGCCAACAUAUUAUGGGUCCAAUCAUCAUCGGGAUGGAAUACCCCAGGCCCACAACCAACAGGGUGGAAUGCCCACAUACUAUGAGUCCAAUCAUCCUCGGGAUGGAAUACUCACGGCCCACAACCAACAGGUUAGAAUGCCUAGGUCUAUUGGCUUUCGCACAAAGCAGAUAAGUCUCAACCGCCAAACAAAUAUGUGCACAUAUAUAUAACAGAUAAUCACAUAACAGUCUAUAGACAACAACCGAUCUACCGAAUCAUACCACAUAGCACAUAAUACCAUCCUAUCUACCAGGAUACCGAUCUAACAGAUCAUACCACAUACUAUAUAAUAUUAUCCUACCCUUUAGGAUAUCGAUUUAACAUAUCAUAACACAUACCACAUAAUAUUAUCCUACCCUCUAGGAUACCGAUCUAAUAGAUCAUACCAACUUAACAUAACCAGAUAACAAUCCAAAGGGCCGACCUUGAUGCCUUAGACCCUUGAGUAUAGUGAUGAUAACUCACCUGACACUGCUGAAGUCCCGCAGAUGAAACUCCAACUGUUGGUUGAUAGACUCCCAAACUACUAACAUCAAACAACACCCAAUUAAUAAUUGGGUUCCAAGCCCAAGGUCUAACUCACACUCCAAAGGCCCAAAAGUCAAGUAAUGGGCCAAAGCCCAACAUGUGGCCCAAUUUUCCAAAUUGGGCCCAGACCUCUACAUGGUCUUUCCUUAAGGCCCAUUCAAUCAUUCUAGUCCAAACUCUUGGUAUUCCCAUGGCUCAAUAUCACAUAAUCAUAAAGGCCUCGACUAUGGUCCAUCUAUGGCCCAAUUUUCCAAAUUGGGCCUAACCCCUCAUAUGGGCCUUACCCUAAAGCCCAUCAACAUAUUUUAGUCCAUAUGAUCAUUCUGGGAUGGUCCAUUAAUAAUCCAAUUACCAAAGUCUAAUGGAACGGCCCAAUACAAAGCCCAAGUGAAAUUAAGGUCUCACAUAAAAUGACAAUUAGAGUUAAGUGUUUCUCACUUAACCCAUUAAGGACUUAAUCCAUUAAGUCCCUCACUUUACUAAAUAAGUCAUAUGGUGUGAUUGUGCUGAAUACACGAUUCCAUUCUGAUGGCCCAAAUAUGAGUCAUGAUAAGUCCAAGCCCAUAAUCCUAAAUUUAGGGUUUUCACAUGAAAUGAUGAUUAGGGUUAAGAGUUUCUUACUUAACCCAUUAAGGACUUAAUCCAUUAAGUCCAUUAUUUCCUUAAGUUAGUUUGCCAAUGAUUAUUAUUUAAUAUUUCAAGUGUGUAUCCCGAUCAAUUUCCACAAGUUAGGGUUUUAUGCCCUUAGGGUUUUCCAAACCCUAAUUAGGGUUUUCCAACCCAAUACUAGUUCAUUAGUCCAUUGGUUGGGCUUUUAGGUCACAUUGGGCCUUAUUAGCCCAUUAGGGUUCCAUUAGGCCCACUAGGGUUUCUUUGGGCCCAUUAGGGUUCCAUUGGUCCCACGUUGUCCAAACAUCCCCCAAACGAGGUUUAAACGCAAUUAAACCACACCUCCACCCAACACGAUAGCCGGUGGCGACAAGAGGCGGCAGCCACCACCUUACGGUGGUGGUUUCAAGUUUUCUAUUGAUUACCGACACUAUUACAAAAAUACACAAAUACACAAAUACACACUCACGUAAAUAACACACACACACACACACUUACACACACACACACACACACACCGCCGCACUGAGGCGGCAUGUGGUGGUCGGAGGUGGCAGUAGGUUUUUUUUUCUUCGGAUCUCUGGCCAAUGGACACUCCGGCAGCCUUAUACCAUCACAGCACCCGAACAUGAGCAACACAACCCGCACACCCAUCCUAUUUGCUCAGGAAAAAUAAAUCCAACUCCCACUUGCGGUGGGUAGCGGCGACAGCAGCCCAAGAAAACGGUAACAGUAGCGGCCAUUGGCGGCGGAUGGCAUCAGGAUGCAACAGUACUAGUAGCAACCGUGGCGGCUAGAGGCAAUAACAGCGGCGACAAAACGAAAUAAGAGAGGAGAGAGAGAGAUGGUGGCAUCAGCUACGAGUCGGAAAAGAAAUGGGAACGUUGGUUUUGCCGUCCGUGGUUUCACCGAUCAACAGAACAACAGCGCAAUCGGCGGUCUCGGUCUUCGACUGUGGUGGUCGCACCUGUGGCAACCCGAAAUUUAUUCCGUCAUUUUUAACCCGUUUUUCCGUUAAUAAGGCUCAUUUUAUUUAACUGUCCGUUAACUUCUGGACUGGUUAAUUAAUUUGGGACUUUUUAAAUGACUUUAUAAAGGUUGAGAUAAAUUAGAAACACCCUAAAUUUUUCCUUUGAAAAUUUUUAGUUUAAACCAAGUCAAAAUACGACCACUAAAUCGGGUGCGAUCAAAAGCCCCGUUUAACGGCAGUAUCGGGUAGAUUUCCACUGAGCCUCAACUCAAGGCCCUAUAUAAGGGGAGAGUAAACUUCAUUUCCACCCUUUUUACUCUCUCUCUCUCUCUACACUCUCUCUCUACAACUUAUUGUCGAGCAAAAAACGUCCGUUUCGAGCCCCAAACGAGUAAGCAAUCUACCCUAACUUGUUGUAUAGCUUAACUAACAUGCAAAUUCAUGUUUAAGGAAUCAAUUAGGGGCAAGAGUAGGUGUUUAAGGCCCAAGAACACUCUUGGACCGUGAAUACCCUAAAUGGGGUUUUUAAGCCCCAAAACCCCUCCAAAUUGCCCCUAAGGCUUAGAUAUGACUUGUGGAAUUACACAUUCGGACUUAGAACACCUUGAACUAAAAUUUAGUGGAGUAAACUUGAGUUUACUACCCAAGAACAUGCUCGGGCCGUAAACUCCUCUUCAUGGGGAGUAAACUCAAGUUCAAGUGUUAGAAAUACCCUCAAACAUCUCCUAUGGCCUUGGAAAAAUGUUUAGAAGCAAUCCCAUUGAUGUAAAUGCUUUAAACAUUAAAUAAAACCAAGGAAAUAGGAGUUUACGGCCGUAAACCCCCCUAGGAAAGGUCUAUGGGCCGUAAACUCCUAAAAAGUGCCCAAAUGAUGCCCUAAACUCCCCAUUUGACUUGGAAAAAUACAUAGGAUUUUAUUCUCUACCAUUUAAGACCUNAAGUCUUUAAAACACCAAAAGAAUAUGCAUAUAGGAGCUUACGGCCAUAAAAUCCUUGUUUAGGGCCGUAAACUCCUCAAAUGGUCCAUUUAAAGCUAUAAACCCCUUCAUAUGCCUUAUAUUUGGACCUAGCCUAAUUCUAUGAAUGAUAUAAGACCAUUUAGCAUGCUAGAACACUCCCACCAUGAGUUUACAGCCGUAAACUCAUGGGGAUAUGAUCUUAGGGCCGUGAACUCUAUAAAGAGUUUACUCUUGAAGAGUAAACUCCCUAUCUAGGCCAUACAUACCCAUAGAUGUUACCCGGGACACCCCUAGCACUUAAUCAAAGUGUUUUCCGCACUUCAGGAUGCAUAUACGUGUUUAAUUAGUAAUAUAUUUACUAAUUGUAUUUAAACAUAUGUCACCAUAUGUUAAUAGGUCACUAAGUGUGUUCAAGUCUUUACUUGACACCGAGCACCCAACCGACACUUUCGUACGAUCCACUUACAUCAGGUGAGUUCAUACCCAUGAAUUAACAUUUUAAAUGUUUUUACAUGCUUUUAUGGGGGGGAAUACAAGUUAAACAUGCCAGUUAUCAUAUCAAUCACAUGUGAUUGAUAAUACGCAUGCACAAGGAUUUAUUACACUGUCAACUGUUUUUACCAAGUAUGAUACUGUAAAUGGUCUUCCAAAACAUCUUUACUUGUACAAAGCUUUUCUCAAAUUAUUUCUCACGUUGUAGGUUUUACUUAAAUUCCUGUUACGGCAGUAUGUUAAACAAAGGAUUCCUUUACCCAAAAUGUUUUAUCAAAGUUUCAUUCAAAACUUGGUUAUGAAAGGUUUCCAAAGAAUUUCUAAAGGUUUUCAAACUUAUUUUAUAAAAGAAUACUAAGUCGUGAUUUUCUUAAGUAUAAAGGUUUUCCAAAGUUUUCACAGAAGUUUACUUCCAUGUUUUAUACUCCUACUUCGUUAGAUUCUACUGCCUUGUUAUAGUUCUACUUAGUUAAAUGCUACUACUUUGUUAACACUUACUUUGUGAUACACUUUUACUUCACGAUACGCUUAUACUUCACGAUACACUUAUACUUCACGAUACGCUUCUACUUCACGAUACGCUUAUACUUCACGACACACUUAUACUUCACGAUACGCUUCUACUUCACGAUACGUUCCUACUUGUUAACACUUAUACCUUGUGAAACACUUCUACUUUGUUAAACACUUAAAUUUCGUUAAAUGCUUCUACUUAGUUAAAUGUAUGCCUGUGCUUGUAUAAGUUAUAUAGUGCUUGUAUAAGUUAUAUAAAUAAUGUUUAAAGGACUUAGGAAGACUAGUUCGCCCUAUUUCCUUUUCUUCGUUGAGAUGUGGUCUGGUGGGAUCGGAUGUCCGUCCGAAGGUCGUUUGAUCAUUAGUUAUAUAUAUUAUGUAUACNGACACGGCCUUCUCCGUCGUCUAGUUGGUAACCAGAGUCUCUUGUAGGGAGAGCGGACAUUGUGUGUAUGGAUCUAUACGGGAUUGACACCCCCGCACCCUGACUGCUAGCUACAGUCCACGGCCUACCAAGCCAAGGGGUGACAAAUGUCAUACUUACACCGACGCUUGCAGGGCGUCAAGUUCUCUAGUGUCUAUCAGUAUGGUUACGAGUAUCUCGGGGUUACCUUAUAAUUCAUGGCCUUAAGGUAACGGGUUUUAACACUGUAUUCACUGUUUUUAGACCUUGCUAGACGUAUCAUUCAGUUGAUACUGUCUGGGGUCUGUGUUCACUGUUUUUAGACCUUGCUAGACGUAUCUUUCAUUUAAUACCGUCUGGGGUCUGUGUCUCCCUUUUGUUAGACUGAGCCAGGCGUACCGUUCAUUCGAUACUCUCCUGGAGUCUAUGAUUUCUUUUUGCCUUAGUCAGCAGUCUUCACUGCUGAGGCAUAUGUUAUUUUCCCUGAUACUCUCCUACUUUCUUUCAAAAUCAAUACCACAUUUUGAUAAUGAUAGUGUUAAGGAAAAAUUAUUUUUUACCACAUAACUCUGCCCAGUCUUGUUAGAAGACUGCUUUUAAUUAGAAAAUAUUGGAUUUUCUGGGAAGGACUCUAAUUCACUGUAUACUUUAAAACUACUACUUAUAUAAAGUUAUUUGGAUAAAAUGACACUAAAUACUUAUGAACUCACCAGCAUUUGUAAAAAUGUUGAUCCUUGCUUUCAAAUAACUUGUAUUCUCAUGUCAGCAAUAGACAAGUACAUUCUAGGAGCUUUUGUUGAAGACGGUUUUGUGCCAAGCUGCAUCUAUACUAGUUUCUGUUAUACUUUGAUGUUUCUAUGUAAUGUAAACCAUGUAAAACUAUUACUAUUAAUGCAAUGGUUGUUGUACUUUGAUUACUAUACUGUAUAUGUUGUGAUACUUGACAUGACGUCAUCCACCCCAGAACGUUUCCGCCGUUCCGGUUUUAGGGUGUGACAGCACCUCCACCGAAAACGACCAUAGUAGCUUUGUUACUGGUUCGCCCAUUGGCCUUCGGUAUCUCCGGUCAUGGCAGACGUCGUUGGGGGUCUUAGUUGGUCGGAGCAGCAAGCUAGUCGGGGGGAAAGGAUGGUGGCGGCCGGUUGAAGAUGAGAGGGGGGUAUAAGGGUGAUGGCUCCUAUAGAGAUUAGGGUUAGGUUUAGAAAAUGACGGAUGAAGAGGUUAAAUACCCGAUCCCUUGAACAAGUUUCCAUAAUAACGCAUUUGGUCCCUUCUUGUAAUAUUCUUUUCAAAACGAAUCCAAAAUUUACCAAUCAGACCCCGCCUUCUUAAAAUCUUAUCAUCCAAGUCCAUAACUUAGCCUUUAGUCCCUGCUUCCAUGAAUCUUUACAUAUUUAGCCCAAAUAAUAUCAAACACUCCUUGACUUAUGAAAAUCUUUACAAAUUAAGUCCUAAAAUUACACUUUAACCCCUAGAGAUUCAAUUCUUGCCAUUUGACUUCCUAAAACCAACACCCUACUAACCAUUUAAUUAAUCUAUUUAAAACGGGGCGUUACAGAUACUAUGGCUUGCACAAAAAGAGCUAGUUUUGGUAAAAACUUGGGUUGACAUUUAUGAGGAUUCGAAGACGGGAAAUGCACACCUGGGAGAUCAUUUUUGGCUUCGCAUCUUAGACCGGUUUCGGGAGGAGCAAGGAAAAGGUGGCGACUAACGUACGAAACACCAAAUGAAUUCGAAGUUUCGAGAAAUAACAAGGGUGGUUUCAAAAAUAAAUGUGUUGUAUAAUGACCUAAAAACCCAAAGAAGAAGCGGCCAAGGCGACGAAGAAAUACUUCAAGAAGCUUUGCAAUUUUACUUUGAGGAAGUCGAAAAACCAUUCAAGUGGCACGAUUGUUGGAAAAUAUUGGUUAAAAGUCCUAGGUGGAAAAAAUAUGAGCAAAAAUUUAUUUUUUUGAAUACAACAAUCAAAGCGAACGAAAACAGGCUCUUGUGGUGGUUACACAACUUCCUCCGAUGCUCGGGUCGGUCUAUAUUUAAAUGAGGACGAACUCGAGCUAGAAGAAAUUGUCCGACCGAUGGGUAAGGACAAAACAAAGAGGAAGGGAAAUGAGACUUCUUCGGGUUCAUCAGAUUUCAGCAUGGACUUUGAUGAAAUGAGGAAAAUAACAGCGUCGUUUGAUUGAUAUAAUCUUAAUUCCGCUGAACAUUUGACGUUCGACAAAGAAAAAGAAGAAACAAAGAAGAAGGAGCGCACAGAGAGACAAGAAAUGGAGGAUAUGAAGUUCUUGAUGGAAAACACCGACCAUCUCUCGGGGCCGGCUCUCGAGCUCUUGAUGAAGAAAAGAUAAAAAAUUAUGAAAAAAUAUUUUCCAGAGGUGGUUGUUGGUUUGUUUGUGUUUUCUUUUUUAAUAUUCUACUUUUUUAAAUCUUAGGUUUAUUGUAAUUUUUAUUUUAAUUAAUAAAAUGCAUUUUAUUUUUAAUUAAAAUUUAUGUUUAUUAUUAAUUUAAAAAUUAUAAAUCAUAAAAAUGUAUUAAUUUUAUUUAAAGAAAUAAAAAAACAAAUAGUAAGGAAAGUUUUCCACCCAUUUUUUGGGUUUAGGUGAGGGAAAGAAAAAUAGGGAACAAAUGACAGGAAAAAAGUGAGGGAAACUUCUCACCCAGACCCUGCGGUCUAAUAAGAAUACUAUACUUAUUUAUACACCUUUAAGUUGUGCAGAAUAAUUUUGUUUUGACAAUUCUUCUAUUUUUCUUAUAUAUGAUUUGAAACCUUUAUUUUUUUCGAAGUUAAUGACUUAUUUAUAAAAAUGAGUGUUUUCAUUUAAUUAUACAAUCGAAAGUGGAUCAUUAACUGACUUAUACAUACAUGCUUGAAUUUGUUAAAAAAAAAAAUAUCAGUUAAUAUAUGUAUAAAUCAGUAAGAAACCCAUUUAAUUAUAUAAAAUUUACAAAUAAAUUGAUAUCCAAGUUCCAACCAAAACAUAACUUCAGAAAUUGAUCAUAGCGGCUCUAUCUUCUUCUAGAGCUUCUAUUCUAGUCAACAGUGGCGAGUUUGUUGUUGAACAAGGUCUUUGCCAAGGUGAUCUACUACCUCUUUUUUCGUUUAUUAUAGCCAUGGAAGGGUUGAACGUAGUAUUAAAGAUGCUACUUUAGGUAAUGCUUUUCAUGGGAUUCAUAUAAGAGAUUCUAAUUUGGAAAUCUCUCAAUUUUUUACGCUGAUGAUGUUAUUACACUUUGUGAUUAGAAUUUGGAGAAUGCGGGACGAAUCCUACGUAUUCAAAUAUGUUUUCAUUCGGUGUAAGGGCUGAAAAUUAACUUACAAAAAGUAAGUUAUUUAGGUUAGGGGUCAGUUUAGGUCUGUAAACGAACUGAACGUUCAACGGACUGUUCGUGAACCGUUCGGCGGGAGUUCAUUUAUGUUUGUUUAUUUAACAAAUAAACGAGCAUCAAUACAAAUUUCCAUUCGUUUAUUCAAACAAACGAAUAUGAAUAAUGAUUUCGUUCAUUAAUUUAUGUUCGUAAACAUUCAUUUAUGUUGUUCGUUUACGUUCGUUUAUGUUCGUUUGUUUAAGUUUAUUUAUGUUCAAUUGUUUUUUUAUGACGUUACUAUAUUAUAUGUUCAUUUAUGACAUUUGUUUACGUUCGUUCUUUAAGUUUAUUUAUAUUCAUAUAUGCUAAAUUGUUUUUUAUGACAUUACUAUAGUAUAUGUUCGUUUAUGUUCAUUUAUGAUGUUCGUUUGCGUUCAUUUAUGUUCGUUCGUUCGUUUAAGUUUAUUUAUGUUCGUAUAUGUUCAAUUGUUUUUUAUGAUAUUGCUAUUUUAUAUGUUUAUUUAUGUUCGUGUAUGUUCAACUGUGUUUGUUUAUCUGUGUUCGUUUAUGUUUGUUUAGUAUGUUUAUGAACAUAAACAAACAAACACGAACAAUAUAAUUUGUUAAACGUACGAACAGUAACAAGAAAACUCGUUCGUUUGUUCCGUUAACUUAAACGAACAAACAUAAACAAGCCAUUGUUCGUGUUCCUUUGGUUCGUCUACAACCCUAGGUCAUUUACAACCAAGUGGAUGAGGUGGCUUGGAUGAUUGGUUAUAAUGGUACGCGACUCCCUUUAUCUACCUUGAAGUUAUGGUGGGUAAAAACAUGAAUCAUAUUGCUUCAUGGAAACCGGUUGUGGACAAAUUUGUUUUGAAUUGUUAGAAAGAAAAAAAAUGCUUUCAGUACGUGGGAGACUUACCUUAUUGAAAGAGAUGCUGGGAAGUUUUAGUAUUUACCACAUGUCUAGUUUUAAGGUGCCAAACUCGGUUUUGAAGUUGUUAGAGUGUUUAAGGGCUCGAUUUCACUAGGUUAUCCGGAAAACGAUUAUGUCGAGUAAGAAGUGGAUGGUUUUGGAGUGGGAGUUUUUUUGUUUUGUUUUUUUUUUCCUUCAAUAGAGCUCUUUUGUUUACAUGAAGGUGGACAUUAUUUUAGCAGAAUAAACUCUUUGGGUUUGUGUGAUCAAAAGCUAUACAUGGCCCAAAUGCAUACCUUCAUCAAGUUGAAGCUGCUUUGCAUUCUCAAGGGCUUUGUUCAAGCCAUUAGAAAACUCCACUCAAAAGGGGUAAACCUGCAAGAUUUAUAUAACAUCAAAGUUGGCAAUGGAAAGAAUGUUAAGUUCUGUAUGGAUCUAGCUUGGAAAUGUUCCACUUAAAGACAAACUUUCGAGAAUAUAUGCCCUAGAUUUGGAUAAAGGCGUCAUCGUUGUAGAUUGGUUCCAUAUUGCAAAAAAUACAACACCAAUAGUACCGGAAAGGACAGUUUCAAUAUUGCCCAUACACAAUCCUUUGUAUAGACAUUGGGGCUGGAGGACGCUAAGAUGGAAUAUGUCUGCUAAAAAGGUUAUCAAUAGCGAUUGCGAGGAAAUAGCGACAACCCACCUAUACGCUACGUAGCGAUAGCGAUGAAAUAGCAACACCUAUUUCAUGUUUUGUGAUUUCUUAUAAAAUUAAACACUAUAUUUACUUGCACCUAUGCAGCAAUCAAAAAUAACAUAGAACUAACAAGUACCAGUUCUAUUAAGCUAACAUUAAGUUGCAAAAUAUGUUUACCACAAAAGAUUGGUUAGUUUUAGACUCUAAAGUCUAAAUUUAAGUUCUAAUACGACAAAAGAAUGGUUAUUUUUAGACUCUAAAGUCUAAAAUUAAGUUCUAAUACCACAAAAGAAUGGUUAUUUUUAGACUCUAAAGUCUAAAACUAUGUUUCAAUACCACAAAUCGAUUUUGGUGAGGUGUGUUAUUGUCGCUACUGUCGCAGUAGUGAGAAAUAACCCGCCAAAAUCGAUUUUGGUGAUUUUGGUGUCGAUCGUACAAUCUUAGUCGAUUAGAGGGGAAAACAUGAAAUUGACUGUACGAUUGCCUGCCUAAACCUAUUCCGAGCCUAAUUGCUACGUUUCUUACCGAUUUAAACAAAAAAAAAAUUUGCCGAACAUUGCUACACACGCUAUUGCUUCGCUAUAGGUAUCGUAGCGACCCAUCACAGCUAUGCUACGCUAUUCGCUAUAGCGAGUGUAGCGAUCGCUAUUAACAACCUUGUCUGCUAAUAUGCCCAAAGUCCGCGUCACAAUGUCACAAUCUGAUGAGAGGUUAUUCCUCUUGGAACAAAAGGAUUGUCACAAUCUAAGGAGAGGUUAUUCCUCUUGGAACAAAAGGAUCAUGACUCGCUUUUUUGGGUUGUUGAGGAGAGAGCCAAGAGGAGGUUUAUAGGUAACCUAGUGGAAAGUGUUUGUUGCCCAAAAUUGUGAUUACAAUGCUUCAAUAGAGCAGUACAGUUGGUUUAGGACUUGGACACUUCAGUUGUUUUUUACGUGUCACCAUGCUUUUUCCUGGAUGGUGAUACUUUGACCACUAAGGGACGAGGGAGUCAUUCCCGUCAAACCCACUAACACAACAGUUUUUAUUAUUAUUAUUAUUAUUAUUAUUAUUAUUAUUAUUAUUAUUAUUAUUAUUAUUAUUAUUAAUCUCUCUUUUCUAUCUUUCCCAACUCACAACACAUGGAAAUCCUAUCUUUUUUAACCCACUCAACCCACUCAAUUAAAAAAAUAUACAAAACAACUAAGGACAAGUUUUAAAACACAUGGUACAAGAGAAAAUAAGAAAGAGAAAGUAGAGAAAGAUGAUGAAGUGGGUUAGUGAAACCAAUCAACCCACUCGUUGAAGCGUGAAUGGUACCGCCGAUAACUCUAUUGCAAAUUAAGAUUUUACAUUUGAUUGUUUUGUANNNNNNNNNNNNNNNNNNNNNNNNNNNNNNNNNNNNNNNNNNNNNNNNNNNNNNNNNNNNNNNNNNNNNNNNNNNNNNNNNNNNNNNNNNNNNNNNNNNNNNNNNNNNNNNNNNNNNNNNNNNNNNNNNNNNNNNNNNNNNNNNNNNNNNNNNNNNNNNNNNNNNNNNNNNNNNNNNNNNNNNNNNNNNNNNNNNNNNNNNNNNNNNNNNNNNNNNNNNNNNNNNNNNNNNNNNNNNNNNNNNNNNNNNNNNNNNNNNNNNNNNNNNNNNNNNNNNNNNNNNNNNNNNNNNNNNNNNNNNNNNNNNNNNNNNNNNNNNNNNNNNNNNNNNNNNNNNNNNNNNNNNNNNNNNNNNNNNNNNNNNNNNNNNNNNNNNNNNNNNNNNNNNNNNNNNNNNNNNNNNNNNNNNNNNNNNNNNNNNNNNNNNNNNNNNUAGAAAACUAAAACUGAGUGAAAUAUUUAUGUAUAUUUUCCCUUUUUGUUAUUUUUCACUUUUAUCGGGUACUUUCUAGUAUUUUGAGCUUAAUUGCAGGAUUUACUGAACACUUUUCGUCAUUGGAGGUAGGGAUGUGCGCGAUGCAGUUUAGAGUCAAAACUACAAACCGCAUCGCAUAUGCAGUUUGAAUAUUUUAGAAACUGCCAACCGCACCAUAGAUGUUCAAAAUCACGUUAUGCGGUGCAGUUUGAUGCGGAUGGGUUAUGCGGUUUGGUUGUUGUUUGGUUGUUGUUUGUGCGGUUUGAUGAGUUGUUCAACAUUAAAUCUAUCAAAAAACCAAAAAACUGAUCAGGUUAAAAAAAAUUGAUUGCUUUUAUUUUAUAAAAACAAAUACAAUUUUCGAGUUAAAUCGUUUUUAAUAAAUUGUGAUUCAUGCUACUAUAGUUUUGCAAGUAUCAUUGUUAUUGUUUUAUAUUGCCGUUAUAGUUGUUAUAUUC
rnacentral:lncRNA from 1 species